AAAAAUAGGUCCCUUCAAAGCACAUACUUCCAUUGGAAGACCUGAAUUCUCCCCUAUCCCUUGUACUCUUGAACUUUUCACCCAUCUGGCCAUCACCUACGUCGUAUUUGCCUGAAUUCUCCCUGUAACAUUUUGUGUCCAUAUAUAUUCUUUUGUCACGUUUUCUUGGUGUACAAUGUAGUCCUCCAUUCAGUCUGUUUUGUGUCCAAUUUUUUUUAUCUUAUUGGUGGUCUGAUGGAAUCUGGGAAAGUCGUCCUUUAACUGCUGCUGCUGGAGGGACUGGAAAUUUGCAGUCCAGCUUGCAAAACUAGCAGGAAAUAAAGUUGUUGCCACUUGCGGAUGAAAAGAAAAGGCGAGGCUUUGAAAGAGUUGGGGGUUUGAUCGAGUCAUAGACUAUAAAGCUGAAGAUAUCAGAACUGUUCUCAAAGAUGAGUUUCCAAAAGGAGUUGACAUUGUCUACGAAUCUGUAGGUGGUGACAUGUUUGAUUUGUGCUUGAAUGCUUUGGCUAUCCGUUGGCGACUCAUUGUUGUAGGAAUGAUCUCUCAGGUGUUUCUUUCAGAGUGAACAAACUAAAAUUUUCCCAUGUAGUCAAUCUUAAUAUUUGCAAUUUAUCGCUUAUGUUUUUUUCUUGGGACCUAUCGUCUUUCUUAUUUGGUUAAACUAUCUGUUUCAUAUGUAUAGUAUCAAGGAUAGCAUGGGUGGCAACCGAAAAUUAUCCUGGUCUGUGGAGAAGCUUUUAGCCAAAAGCUAAAACGUGUUAUGUUGUUAAUUAUGAACUUUAAGUUGUUUAUAAGCUGUCCU